rnacentral:rRNA from 1 species
CCUACGGGAGGCAGCAGUGGGGAAUAUUGGUCAAUGGGCGCAAGCCUGACCCAGCAACGCCGCGUGAAGGAAGAAUGCUUCCGGGUUGUAAACUUCUUUUCUUAGGGACGAAGAAAGUGACGGUACCUCAUGAAUAAGCCACGGCUAACUACGUGCCAGCAGCCGCGGUAAUACGGAGGUGGCAAUCGGUAUCCGGAUGUAUUGGGUGUAAAGGGCGUGUAGGCGGGAAAGCAAGUCAGAUGUGAAAACUCAGGGCUCAACCCUGAGCCUGCAUUUGACACUGUUAUUCUUGAGUGCGGGAGAGGCAAUCGGAAUUCCGGGUGUAGCGGUGAAAUGCGUAGAUAUAAGGAGGAACACCAGUGGCGAAGGCGGAUUGCUGGACAGUAACUGACGCUGAGGCGCGAAAGCGUGGGGAGCAAACAGGAUUAGAUACCCGUGUAGUC